rnacentral:piRNA from 1 species
ACUUCAGUGAGCUUCUGAUUCUGCUGACAGG